rnacentral:rRNA from 1 species
GAUGAACGCUGGCGGCGUGCCUAAUACAUGCAAGUCGAGCGAACGGACGAGAAGCUUGCUUCUCUGAUGUUAGCGGCGGACGGGUGAGUAACAGGUGGAUAACCUACCUAUAAGACUGGGAUAACUUCGGGAAACCGGAGCUAAUACCGGAUGAUAUUUUGAACCGCAUGGUUCAAAAGUGAAAGACGGUCUUGCUGUCACUUAUAGAUGGAUCCGCGCUGCAUUAGCUAGUUGGUAAGGUAAUGGCUUACCAAGGCAACGAUGCAUAGCCGACCUGAGAGGGUGAUCGGCCACACUGGAACUGAGACACGGUCCAGACUCCUACGGGAGGCAGCAGUAGGGAAUCUUCCGCAAUGGGCGAAAGCCUGACGGAGCAACGCCGCGUGAGUGAUGAAGGUCUUCGGAUCGUAAAACUCUGUUAUUAGGGAAGAACAUAUGUGUAAGUAACUGUGCACAUCUUGACGGUACCUAAUCAGAAAGCCACGGCUAACUACGUG